UGGCCACUGAGGCUAUCAGAAAAACAAUAACACCAUCUUUCGGGACCGAAUGGCUUUAAAAAGCCUUGCUGACUUUUCUGCAAUUCUGAGGCCU